GGUUUGAUCCUGGCUCAGAUUGAACGCUGGCAGGAUGCUUUACACAUACCAAGUCGAACGGCAGCACGGACUUCGGUCUGGUGGCGAGUGGCGAACGGGUGAGUAAUGUAUCGGAACGUGCCUAGUAGCGGGGGAUAACUGCAUGGCCUUAGCUAAUACCACGCCGCCCUUCGAGGAAAAGCGGGGGACCUUCGGGCCUCGCACUAUUAGGAAGCGGCCGAUAUCGGAUUAGCUAGUUGGUGGGGUAACGGCUCACCAAGGCGACGAUCCGUAGCUGGUUUGAGAGGACGACCAGCCGCACUGGGACUGAGACACGGCCCAGACUCCUACGGGAGGCAGCAGUGGGAAUUUUGGACAAUGGGGAAACCUGAUCCAGCCAUCCCGCGUGUGCGAUGAAGGCCUUCCGGGUUGUAAAACACUUUUGGCAGGAAAGAAACGGCACGGGAUAAUACCCCGUGCAACUGACGGUACCUGCGGAAUAAGCACCGGCUAACUACGUGCCAGCAGCCGCGGUAAUACGUAAGUGCAAGCCAAUCGGAAUUACUGGGCGUAAAGCGUGCGCAGGCGGUUCGGAAGAAAGAUGUGAAAUCCCAGAGCUUAACUUUGGAACUGCAUUUUUAACUACCGAGCUAGAGGAAGAGUGUGUCAGAGGGAGGUGGAAUUCCGCGUGUAGCAGUGAAAUGCGUAGAUAUGCGGAGGAACACCGAUGGCGAAAGGCAACCUCGGGAUAACACUGACGCUCAUGCACGAAAGCGUGGGAGCAAACAGGAUUAGAUACCCUGGUAGUCCACGCCCUAAACGAUGUCAACUAAGCUGUUGGGGCCUUCAGGCCUUGUGGCGCAACUAACGCGUGAGAUUGACCGCCUGGGAAAUACGGUCGCAAGAUUAAAACUCAAAGGAAUUGACGGGGACCCGCACAAGCGAGUGGAUGAUGUGGAUUAAUUCGAUGCAACGCGAAAAACCUUACCUACCCUUGACAUGUCUGGAAUCCCGAAGAGAUUUAGAGGUACUCGCAAGAGAACCGGAACACAGGUGCUGCAUGGCUGUCGUCAGCUCGUGUCGUGAGAUGUUGGGUUAAGUCCCGCAACGAGCGCAACCCUUGUCAUUAGUUGCUACGAGGCACUCUAAUGAGACUGCCGGUGACAAACCGGAGGAAGGUGAGGAUGACGUCAAGUCCUCAUGGCCCUUAUGGGUAAGGGCUUCACACGUCAUACAAUGGUCAGGACAGAGGUCGCCAACCCGCGAGGGGAGCCAAUCCCAGGAAACCCGAUCGUAGUCCGGAUCGCAGUCUGCAACUCGACUGCGUGAAGUCGGAAUCGCUGGUAAUCGCGGAUCAGCAUGUCGCGGUGAAUACGUUCCCGGGUCUUGUACACACCGCCCGUCACCGUGAUUAAGGUUUUGCAAAGUAGUUAGCCUAACCGUAAGGAGGGCGAUUACCACGGUAGGAUUCAUGACUGGGGUGAAGUCGUAACAAGGUAA
rnacentral:rRNA from 1 species